rnacentral:rRNA from 1 species
UGCCAGCCGCCGCGGUAAGACGGGGGGUGCUAGUGUUAUUCGGAAUAACUGGGCGUAAAGGGUACGUAGGUGGUUAAUUAAGUCAGAUGUGAAAGCCCUGGGCUCAACCUGGGAAUUGCAUUUGAUACUGGUUGACUUGAGUAUGGGAGAGGGAAGUGGAAUUUCCGGUGUAGCGGUGAAAUGCGUAGAUAUCGGAAGGAACACCAGUGGCGAAGGCGACUUCCUGGACCAUUACUGACGCUGAGGCACGAAAGCGUGGGGAGCAAACAGGAUUAGAUA